GACGAACGCUGGCGGCGUGCUUAACACAUGCAAGUCGAACGGAAAGGCCUCUUUCGGGGGGUACUCGAGUGGCGAACGGGUGAGUAACACGUGAGUAACCUGCCCUUGACUUUGGGAUAACUUCAGGAAACUGGGGCUAAUACCGGAUAGGAGCUCCUGCUGCAUGGUGGGGGUUGGAAAGUUUCGGCGGUUGGGGAUGGACUCGCGGCUUAUCAGCUUGUUGGUGGGGUAGUGGCUUACCAAGGCUUUGACGGGUAGCCGGCCUGAGAGGGUGACCGGCCACAGUGGGACUGAGAUACGGCCCAGACUCCUACGGGAGGCAGCAGGGGGGAAUAUUGCACAAUGGGUGGAAGCCUGAUGCAGCAACGCCGGGUGCGGGAGGACGGCCUUCGGGUUGUAAACCGCUUUCGCUCAUGACGAAGCUUUGCGUGACGGUAGUGGGUAAAGAAGCACCGGCUAACUACGUG
rnacentral:rRNA from 1 species